GCCGUCGUAGCUCAGUUGGUAGAGCACCUCGCUGUUAACGAGGUGGUCCCAGGUUCGAGUCCUGGCGACGGCGUCA
rnacentral:tRNA from 1 species